GGCCGUGAUAUAUUUUGGUUUUCAUCAAAAAUCCAAUCAAUUUCUUCAUUUCAUUACUCAAAUCCAUUUACAGUAAAACCAAACCCUAAACAAAAAUUCCUUCAAAAAAAGAAAAAGAAAACCUAAACAAAAACCUCAAUCAAUCAAUUUUGUUCUUCUUCGUUCAAGAACGAUUCAACUAGCCCAGGAAAUCAUCGAAUUACAAACAAAAAAAAAACUCAGAAUAGAACAAAUGGGUUCGUCACCAAGAGUUCAAUCGUGCCUGUUGAAACUGGGAGGAACACAGAAACCCAUGAAGAUUCUACCAGCAAUUGUGGUGGUGGUAACUUGUUCGAUGAGAAAUUCAAAUACUCAUUUUCGAUUAAAAAGAUCACAAAUGUCAAGAGGCCCUUCACUUUCUUCAAUAAUUUUCCUGGUUUCAGUUCUUGAUUUUUGUCUAGUAACAUGGGUUCUUGGGUUUUUUUAUUUUAUUCAGUUUUCAUUAACAUGAGUUCCUUGUGAUUCUAUUCAAGUAAUAGUAGCAGUACUAAUAGUUCUUGAAUUCUUGUUAUCACCUUCUUCUUCAGUAUUUUUAAUAGAAUUUGAAAUUUCUUGGUGAAGUUCUUGAUGAUGUUGGUGAUGAUUAUAAGAACUAAUGGGUUUAGCUUAUAAUUGGAAUUCUGUUAUUGACUUUGUUUUGGUUUGGAACAGAUGAGGAGGGGAGUAUUAAAGAAUGUAACAUACAAUUUGAUGAUUUAGUCCAAACCUAGAAUCAACUGCACCCCAAUUCAUCAAUCUAGAGUUUGAGUAGAUUUAUAUAUAUUGCCUUUUCAAUAUUGUAGUAAAGAAGAUUUAGUUAUUUCUUGAAUCAUUGUGUUGUUUGAUGAAACAUCACAAUGUUUGCAUUCUAAUAGUGGAAAUGAUUUAGUUAUUUCUUGAACCAUUGUGAUGUUUCAUCAAACAUUGUGACUAUUCAUGACUUAACACAUUCACAUCCGUCCAUCUAUAUUAGAAUUGUGCAUCAUUCACUAUGUUUUCAAUUUGGAUUCUCUGGUUAUCCUCAGCAAUCUUCAAAUGCAGAACCGUGAACAAGUUAAUAUGGACAUAGUUGUUGAAGAUCUUCCAUCAUUUUUAAAAAGCUUUAGCACCUUGCAAAACCUAUAUCAACUUGAACAACAUACUGUUGGGGACAGAAAGGUAGAUCCGCCGAGGCGGAAGCUGAAUUUGAGAAUCUCUUGGGACUCAAACCUAUCGAAGUCAGAGGAGAUGAGCCAGACAUGUAAAGUUUUUGGAGUUAUUUUAUGGCCGCCAUUUCAGAGGAACUGCAGGUGUUGGUGUUGUUUAGAAGUUCUGCUAGAUACUUGUUAUUGGAAUGGAAGUACUUGAAAUUGAUAUAACUGGUGUAAUGUUGGCAAUGCAUGUUUUCAUCUAGCAAUUAUAGUACCUAAAAAUUGUGAAUUCAUGGAAGUGGUGGAGUACGUCAAGCACGCAGGGAAGUUUGUAACUUUGCACGCCUUGGAGGAAAGCUGCUCAAGGGAAUGAUUUUGACAGGUGGGCUUGGGACUGGUAAGGCCCUGCUUGCCAAGACUAUCGCAGUAGAAAGCCGGAGUACCUUUAUUUCUUCAGAGCGGAUUCAGAAUUUGAGGAGUUGUAAUUCGGCAAUUCUGCACGAUUUGUUCAGAAUGAAAUUUAUCCAUUGUCUUCUCUGAGGGUAUGCCAAUGGAAUUCUCUGUGUGAGAUAAAAUAAAAGGGAGAGGGAGAAAUUAUCAGAAGUCCAAACACCAUAUGAUAUAUCUUGAAGCCACAAAAGCUGCAGUAGUUGAUGCUCGCAGAAUGAUCUCGACGGAACCCUGCAUUUCUAAUUUAUCAAUCUUACUGACAAAGUAUGCAGUGAAGGCCUCUCCAAGAGUCUCAAGCAAGUUGGAAUUAUGUAAUUUCCCCUUUUCAGCAGGAUACAGUCUUCACGCAGGAUUUGCUUCAAGUGUUCUUGUGAUAACCAAAAACAUGGAAUUCUAAACUACCUCAUAGUACUUUUUUUUUUUGAGAGAGAGAGAGAGAGAAAAGGGGUAAAAAACUACCUCAUAGUACUUGCAUCUGUAGAAUCCAACAUUGAAGUUAAUAAGUAAAAAAAAAAUCUAUAUGCAAAUUGUUGCAACUCUUGAAAAAUGUUGUGCAACAAUUAGCUUU